UGGGGAUAAGAUAAAAGGCCUUUCUCUAGACUGACAGAGCUCGGGCUUCCCAGGUGGCGCUAGUGGUAAAGAACCCGCCUGCCAAUGCAGGAGACAUAGACUGACAGAGAACUAACCUGCUGGCCAGGGUCCACUAGAAACAAAUUUGCUAGCUCCACCCUGAGGGUGGGAAGCUGGGGCCCAAGCUUUUCUCUUCUCUUGCAGCUACUUUCAUCAAUAUUUCCUCUGCAGCUGAACGGGCUGGCAGGCAACCUGCAAUGAGGCCCUGCUCAGAAGACCCCCACCUCUGCUGGACCUCCUGGCUCCUGGGAUUCAUCAGUCUCCUUCUCAUUUCCAAUCCUUUAGGCAUCUGCAGCACUGGGGCCAAGAGUCCUGGUGCACAUGGUUCUGGAGUUCAGGAUCCUGCAGCCCGUGUUCCCCGGCAGGGGAUCCGAGGAGGUUCUGUGUUGUUUCACGUGAUCAAGAAGCAAGAAGCUGAACCAGAGGAGGUCUCAUGGGCCUUUGGCCCUGACUCAAACUACAGUGUCCUGCUGCGAGUCCAUCGUGGGGCAGACACUCCAACCUGGGUCAGCCUCCAGGACAAGUACCAGCAGAAGGUCCAUGUGCUCAACAUCUUGUCCCUGAAGAUUGAGAAUCUGACCUGUGAGGACAGUGGACAGUACCGGGCUCGAGUCAGCUUCCCUGGAGGAGUCGAACUUACCCAGGUUUUCCUCCUCACUGUCUAUG
rnacentral:lncRNA from 1 species